AGCAGCCGCGGUAAUUCCAGCUCCAAUAGCGUAUAUUAAAGUUGUUGCAGUUAAAAAGCUCGUAGUUGAAUUUCGGGGUCAGUGAGUUGGUCGUGCCACUGGUAUGCACUGGCUUUACUGAUUCCUCCUUCUUGAAGAACUGUAAUGCUAUUAAUUUAGUGUUGCAGGGAAACAGGACUGUUACUUUGAAAAAUUAGAGUGUUUAAAGCAGGCUAACGCUUGAAUACAUUAGCAUGGAAUAAUGAAAUAGGACGUUUGAUCCUAUUUUGUUGGUUUCUAGGAUUGACGUAAUGAUUAAUAGGGAUAGUUGGGGGCAUUAGUAUUCAAUUGUCAGAGGUGAAAUUCUUGGAUUUAUUGAAGACUGACUACUGCGAAAGCAUUUGCCAAGGAUGUUUUCAUUAAUCAAGAACGAAAGUUAGGGGAUCGAAGACGAUCAGAUACCGUCGUAGUCUUAACCAUAAACUAUGCCGACUAGGGAUCGGAUGAUGUUAAUUUUUAAUGACU
rnacentral:rRNA from 1 species